AUGGAUCGCCAAACUAGUGCCCGAGUGGACCUGGAGAGCAUGCUGUUGGAUGAAACCAAAGAACCAAAGGCUUUGCAAUUACCACUUUUACAAGACAUUACAAAGAGUUUCUCUGCUGACCAUGAAAUUGGACGUGGCGGAUUUGCGGUGGUUUAUAAGGGGGUCCUUGACAAUGGCAUGGUUGCUGUGAAGAAGCUGUCCAACACGUAUUUGUACGAGAAUAAAUUCCAGACGGAGAUUCAAUGUCUGAUGAAGGUGAAGCACAGAAAUGUUGUACGCUUUUUAGGAUAUUGUUGCGACACACAAGGGCAAGUAGCCAUGCAUGAAGGCAAUUUUGUCAUGGCUGACAUACAAGAAAGAAUACUCUGCUUUGAGUUUCUACCCAAGGGGGAUCUUUGUAACUAUAUCUCCGUUGCGUCCAGUGGACUUGAGUGGAGAGAUCGCUACAAAAUAAUAAAAGGAAUCUGUGAAGGAUUGAAUUACCUUCACAGAAAUGGUAUUGUUCACCUUGAUCUUAAACCAGCAAAUAUCCUCAUGGAUGCUAAAAUGGUGCCGAAAAUUGGUGACUUUGGCCUAUCAAGGUGCUUUCAGGAAGACCAAACCCGCACUAUUGCUACAACAAUUGCUGGAACCCUUGGAUAUCUAGCACCAGAAUUCAGCGACCGCGUAAUUACACAUAAAUAUGACUUGUACAGUCUUGGAGUAAUAAUCACGGAGAUACUGACCGGAGAAAAAGGUUAUAGUGAUGUUGAGGAAGUACUUGAAAGUUGGAGCAAUAGGUUGGAGAAAUCACAGAGACAACAAGUAAGAGUAUGCACUGAGAUAGCAUUACAGUGCACUGAGCGCAAUCCUAAGAGAAGGCCAACUAGUACACAAUAUGUAAUUGAUCGGCUUACUGAAACAGAAAGCGCGGGAACAAUGGAGCUACUUGACGUCUACCUUGUCGAGCUUCGCUUCCCUGUCGAACCCAACACAGAUGAACACGCAGUAUUCAGGCUUGUGAUUAAGAGCAUCAAGCCUUGGCGUUGCUUCGCAAGUCUCCCACUAUAUGGCAUUGUGCCUCCCAAGUCCUCUACUUACACUCUCGUUGUUACAGCGCAACAGCAAGAGAGGCUACCAGAAGAAAUGGAGUACGAUCUAAUCCUGCAGAGCAAUCUGUCAGGGGAUAAAAGCAUCCCUACUUUGAGAGACCAAUCUAAGUAUGAUAAGUUUUUCGACGAAGCUAAAGUGUCAGGGAAUGCAGUGCGUGAGGUGAUGCUGAAAACUGUUUUUGCUUCACAAGGACAGACAACAUCAGAGACAAUCUCAAGAAGACUAAAGGAUCAAUGGAUAAUAUCCCUGAAGAAUACUCAUGGCAUGCUGUGCUCCCUUGAUGCACAGCCCACCGAGCCAUGCAUUGUAACAAGUCAUCAGCAUGGAGAUGUUUGCGUAUGGAACUAUGACCCGCAGAGACGGACGGAUUCAUUUAAUGUGUCAAAGGAGUCAAUCAUGCCCUCUUACUCAUUGUCGAAUAAAGUUCAUUCUGUUAAGGUUAUCUCAAGAAAGAAAUGGUUUGUGGCUGGGACAUCUGAUGGUGUGAUCCAUGUGUACAAUUACGACAACAAAAUACAAAAACUCAGGAGUUUCAGAGCCGCCAGUGAUUGCUUCAUCACAUCAAUGGCCGUCCAUCCAACCCGCCCAUAUGUAUUGUCAUCGGCUCAUUGUGAUAUGAAGCUCUGGGACUGGGACAACGGCUGGGAGUGCACACAAUCAUUCAUGCAAGAACACUCCGAUACUAUACAGCAAGUCGCAUUUAACCCAGUGGACUCCAAUAUGUUUGCAAGUGCUUCAGAUGAUCAAACAGUAAAGGUUUGGAGCGUCGAUUCUCCCGAAUCAAAGUAUACUUUGUCUGGGCAUCAGGACAAAGUGAACUGUCUCGAUUUCUUCAAAUCUAAUGAUCGACAAUAUUUGAUUACUGGCUCUGACGACCACACCGCUAAGAUAUGGGACAUGGAGGAAAAGGCUUGUGUUCAUACGAUGCAAGCUUUCAUAUCUCCGGUAAUUUCUGUCAUGGCCUUUCCCGAUAGCUCAUAUCUAAUUACAGGUUCAAGAGAUGGCUCUCUUCAUUUCUGGAGCUCCGCUGAAUUCAGUGAUUUCUGCAUGGUUCCUAGGCUGGAGAGAAUCGUUAACUUUGGCUCUGGUGGAGCUAUUUGGGGUCUCGGACGUUUCAUGGGGUCAAGAAGGAUGUGCCACGCCUUUUAA
rnacentral:rRNA from 1 species